CUUAAUUGUAAAAAGUUAUUAAAACAUCUUUAUGUUAUGUUUUGGAGCAACGAUUUUACUUGUUGCUUUCAAUUCAUGAUUUUAUGAGCUCAUAGGAGUAUUUGAUUUAAUAGUACUAAAUUUUUCAAUUUAAAAUAGUUUUAUAAAAAAGAAUUCACGAAUUUCGAAUUUAAUAGUUUUAGGAGUUUUUCUUUUGUUUUUGGCAUCAAGGGUUAAGAGUUGGGUAUCAAAAUCGGUAGCCGCGAAACUCCAGUUUCCCGUUUGAUUAGAUUCGAGGCGGAGAGAGAUGAAACCAAUACCAUUACCGCCGGGCGAGGAAGUCGCACCCAAGCUCGUUCGACUUCUCUACUUUGUCGGCGCCGGAGUUGUUUGCACUGCCGCGAUUAACAAGUGGAAAGAAUAUGAAAAAAAAUCCAUGAUUCAGAAGGAGCAACAAAUGAAUGAAUCGUCUCCGGAAAAUUCGCCGGCUGUGGUACACAAGGCUGUUGAAUGAACUUCAGUUUUGUUUCCUUCUUUUAAUAACUGAAAUUUAUAACAUGUGAUUUUGAGCGGUUUAGUAGCUAACGAAUUAUACCCUUGGAUUAAUGAAACUAUAUGUGAUAAGUCUGCUGCUGUUUCUUUUCGUAUUACAUACUGAUAUCGUUUCUAA